ACAUUCUAUACGGAGUUACAAAGGAACGAGGUAGACGAAGCGACCUGGAAAGGUCCGUCGUAGAGGGUAACAACCCCGUAGUCGAAACUUCGUUCUCUCUUGAAUGUAUCCUGAGUACGGCGGAACACGUGAAAUUCCGUCGGAAUCUGGGAGGACCAUCUCCCAAGGCUAAAUACUCCCUAGUGAUCGAUAGUGAACCAGUACCGUGAGGGAAAGGUGAAAAGCACCCCGGAAGGGGAGUGAAAGAGAUCCUGAAACCGUGUGCCUACAAAUAGUCAGAGCCCGUUAACGGGUGAUGGCGUGCCUUUUGUAGAAUGAACCGGCGAGUUACGAUCCCGUGCGAGGUUAAGCUGAAGAGGCGGAGCCGCAGCGAAAGCGAGUCUGAAUAGGGCGUUUAGUACGUGGUCGUAGACCCGAAACCAGGUGAUCUACCCAUGUCCAGGGUGAAGUUCAGGUAACACUGAAUGGAGGCCCGAACCCACGCACGUUGAAAAGUGCGGGGAUGAGGUGUGGGUAGCGGAGAAAUUCCAAUCGAACCUGGAGAUAGCUGGUUCUCCCCGAAAUAGCUUUAGGGCUAGCCUUAAGUGUAAGAGUCUUGGAGGUAGAGCACUGAUUGGACUAGGGGUCCUCAUCGGAUUACCGAAUUCAGUCAAACUCCGAAUGCCAAUGACUUAUCCUUAGGAGUCAGACUGCGAGUGAUAAGAUCCGUAGUCAAAAGGGAAACAGCCCAGACCGCCAGCUAAGGUCCCAAAGUGUGUAUUAAGUGGAAAAGGAUGUGGAGUUGCUUAGACAACUAGGAUGUUGGCUUAGAAGCAGCCACCAUUUAAAGAGUGCGUAAUAGCUCACUAGUCGAGUGACUCUGCGCCGAAAAUGUACCGGGGCUAAAUACACCACCGAAGCUGCGGAUUGAUACCAAUGGUAUCAGUGGUAGGGGAGCGUUCUAAGGACAGUGAAGUCAGACCGGAAGGACUGGUGGAGUGCUUAGAAGUGAGAAUGCCGGUAUGAGUAGCGAAAGACGGGUGAGAAUCCCGUCCACCGAAUGCCUAAGGUUUCCUGAGGAAGGCUCGUCCGCUCAGGGUUAGUCAGGACCUAAGCCGAGGCCGACAGGCGUAGGCGAUGGACAACAGGUUGAUAUUCCUGUACCACCUCUUUAUCGUUUGAGCAAUGGAGGGACGCAGAAGGAUAGAAGAAGCGUGCGAUUGGUUGUGCACGUCCAAGCAGUUAGGCUGAUAAGUAGGCAAAUCCGCUUAUCGUGAAGGCUGAGCUGUGAUGGGGAAGCUCCUUAUGGAGCGAAGUCUUUGAUUCCCCGCUGCCAAGAAAAGCUUCUAGCGAGAUAAAAGGUGCCUGUACCGCAAACCGACACAGGUAGGCGAGGAGAGAAUCCUAAGGUGUGCGAGAGAACUCUGGUUAAGGAACUCGGCAAAAUGACCCCGUAACUUCGGGAGAAGGGGUGCUUUCUUAACGGAAAGCCGCAGUGAAUAGGCCCAAGCGACUGUUUAGCAAAAACACAGCUCUCUGCGAAGCCGUAAGGCGAAGUAUAGGGGGUGACACCUGCCCGGUGCUGGAAGGUUAAGGAGAGGGGUUAGCGUAAGCGAAGCUCUGAACUGAAGCCCCAGUAAACGGCGGCCGUAACUAUAACGGUCCUAAGGUAGCGAAAUUCCUUGUCGGGUAAGUUCCGACCCGCACGAAAGGUGUAACGAUUUGGGCACUGUCUCAACCAGAGACUCGGUGAAAUUAUAGUACCUGUGAAGAUGCAGGUUACCCGCGACAGGACGGAAAGACCCCGUGGAGCUUUACUGUAGCCUGAUAUUGAAUUUUGGUACAGUUUGUACAGGAUAGGCGGGAGCCUUUGAAACCGGAGCGCUAGCUUCGGUGGAGGCGCUGGUGGGAUACCGCCCUGACUGUAUUGAAAUUCUAACCUACGGGUCUUAUCGACCCGGGAGACAGUGUCAGGUGGGCAGUUUGACUGGGGCGG
rnacentral:rRNA from 1 species